CGCCCCUAAUAUCUGUGCAAGAGCCACAUAAAAUUACACUACAUAGGCCACCAUAUGGGUAAUCUGAUGUUUCCUUUCUAAUCUAAAAUCUGUCUCUAUUCCACAUUGAUCAGGCUCUUGAAGGAACAAAAUCCUGAAACUGUACAGUUGCACAACACUGACAAAUGAAAGAUUUCAGCAUUUGACACAAUUGACAGUGUGAUAUUGUUCACAAGCAACUACCUAUUGUUGCUAACAUACAAAAUCUAAACUGAGUGGGUGAUACAAUCUUGAAAACUGAAGUUUCCGAAGCAUUCUAGUGAAAUUAUUCUUUAGAUUUUAAUAAAAAUUACCUGCUGUAGCUUUAAGACCAAAAUAAUAAUAAUAAUAAUAAUAACACCACAUGUAUGUUAGAUUAUGAUAUUAUAACCAAAACCACAGACACAUAUUACAACACUGAUAGAUAGAUAGAUAGAUAGAUAGAUAGAUAGAUAGAUAGAUCAUCAUAUAUCAGCCAGUUGUAAUCCUAAUUACAGUGUGUUUCAUAAGUAUGACAAGCACUGAACCUGUGCAUAGGGAGAUAGCAGUGAACCGCCACAGUUCUGACUGAACUGCAUACAAUAAUGAACAUACGAGAGACAAAUGGACACCAAUUUCCGGAGCUGUCACUGCUGCGGAUGACGAACUUGUUGCAGCUUUUUGAAAUGCCUCCAAGGGCGGAGAGACAGAGGAGGGCGGGGACAGGGACACCACCCUGACUACAUCACUGUUGUGUUGAGACACUGCCUGAAAAAUCCCAAAUCCAGACUAGGGACCACCGGAACACGCUACAGAAUGUGGGAUUCACAUUGUCUCCAAAACAAUGGCUUCUCACAUUUACAUCUUCUGCAUUAUAAAUAGUUAAAUAAGCUUCCUUAUUCCUCACUAGACAAAGCCAUUGAUUGGUUGAAUUUGAACUUUGCCCCGCCCCCAAAAUAUGAAAUUCCUAUGAUGAUUGGGCAAUUCCCCGUAUCGCUUACCCUUGGAAGAGAUGUGAUUGGCUGCUCAGAAAUAGAGCCCUCCCUGUAACUAUGAAACUCUUUCAACUAUUGGUCUAUUUCAUGUAUUGCCUUUACACUUACCUACAUGAUUUGACUGGCUGCUGGUCAUUCUAAUUACAUAUUUAUUAUACUUAACUUUAUAUAAUGCAUUUGUAAAUUUGUAAAUAAACAAAUAAAAGCCACAGAUCAUAUGACAAAAGUCUC
rnacentral:lncRNA from 15 species